rnacentral:rRNA from 1 species
UCAAGCGAAAGAAAGUAUGUGGGGGAUGCCUAGGUACACAGAGGCGAUGAAGGCCGUGGUAAGCUGCGAUAAGCCAGGGGGAGCUGCACACAAGCUAUGAGCCCUGGAUGGCCGAAUGGGGAAACCCGGCUGUCAGUAAUGGCAGUCACACUCUACGGAGUGAGCUAACUCAGGGAACUGAAACAUCUAAGUACCUGAAGGAAAGAGAAAUCAACCGAGAUGCCCUAAGUAGCGGCGAGCGAAAGGGGCCCUAGCCCAAACCAUUACCCCUCGUGGGUAGCGGGGUUGUAGGACCUACGGACGGUACACCCAAGUGUUAGCGGAAUUCUCCUGGAAUGGAGAGCCAUAGACGGUGAUAGCCCGGUACGCACAAACCAAAGGGUGUGCUAGUAGUGUUCCUGAGUAACGCCCGAGUUCCGAGGAAUCGGGCGUGAAACCGGGGGGACCACCCUCCAAGGCUAAAGACUCCUGUGUGACCGAUAGUGAACGAGUACCGUGAGGGAAAGGUGAAAAGUACCCCAGUGCGGGGAGUGAAAGAGUUUCUGAAACCACAUACUUACAAGCGGUAGGAGGCUGGGCUGGUCUUCGGAUUAGUCACGGCUGACUGCGUGCCUUUUGCAUUAUGAUCCGGCGAGUUACUCCUCAGAAGCGUAGGCUAAGCGGCUAGGCCGCGGAGCCACAGCGAAAGCGAGUCCUGUAAAGAGGGCGAUUUAGUUUCUGGGGGUAGACCCGAAGCCAGGGCGAUCUACCCAUGUGCAGAGUGAAGCGCGGGUAACACCGCGUGGAGGCUCGAACAGGUACGGGUUGAAAACCGUUCUGAUGACGUGUGGGUAGGGGUGAAAGGCCAAUCAAGCCUGGAGAUAGCUGGUUCUCCCCGAAAUCUAUUGAGGUAGAGCCUCAGGAAAUGUUUGCAGGAGGUAGAGCGACUGGAUGGGCGCGGGGGGGCGAAGCCCCUACCAACCCCAACCAAACUCCGAAUGCCUGUAAAAUGAAUCCUGGGAGGCAGUCGUUGAGCGAUAAUGUCCAACGGCGAGAGGGAAAGAACCCAGAACCACAGCUAAGGCCCCAAAGUGGCCGCUAAGUAUAGCGAAGGAUGUGAACGUGCCGUGACAACUGGGAGGUUGGCUUAGAAGCAGCCAUUCCUUGAAAGAGUGCGUAAUAGCUCACCAGUCCAGCGUGUUCGCGCCGAGAAUGGUCGGGAUUAAGCGGCCCGCCGAAGCUUGGUCUUCAUACUUAUGUAUGAGGGGUAGGGGAGCGUUCCCAUCUGCUGUGAAGCCAUCGUGGAAACGGUGGUGGAGCGUUGGGAAGUGAGGAUGCCGGAAUGAGUACGCGCGAAUCAAAGUGAAAACCUUUGACACCGAAAACCCAAGGAUUCCUGCGCCAUGGCAGUCAGCGCAGGGUGAGGCGGAACCUAAGGCGAGGCCCCAAAGGCGUAGUCGAUGGAUAGCCGGUUAACAUUCCGGCCCCGCCAGUUGCACGUUAUUACCUCUGAAGGGACCCUGGAACGAAUGGAGAGCGGUCUUGUGGAUUGACCGUCUAACCGCGUAGGCGUAAGCCGAGACGGGAAUGUAAGUUGAAGGGGCAACCCUGAUCCAAUUCUUCAAUAGUCGACAGGCAAGAAAAGCUUCAGAGGGAGUUCAGCUGGUGUCCGUACCGUAAACCGACACAGGUGGGUGAGGCGAGUAGCCUAAGGUGAACGAGUGAAACGUGGUCAAGGAACUCGGCAUAAUGAUCCCGUAACUUCGGAAGAAGGGAUGCCCUCCCCGGUACCCAGUUUUACAUUGGGCGCUGAGAAGGGCCGCAGAUAAUCGGCUCAAGCGACUGUUUAGCAAAAACACAGGUGAGUGCAAAGCCGCACAAGGCGCCGUAUACUCACUGACGCCUGCCCGGUGCCGGAAGGUUAAGGGGAGAGGUUAUCCCGUAAGGGAAAAGCCUUGAGCCGAAGCCCCGGUAAACGGCGGCCGUAACUAUAACGGUCCUAAGGUAGCGAAAUUCCUUGUCGGGUAAGUUCCGACCUGCACGAAUGGCGUAACGACUUGAGCACUGUCUCGACCACGUGCUCGGCGAAAUUGCAGUCUCGGUGAGGAUUCCGAGUCCCCGCAGCAGGACAAAAAGACCCCAUGCACCUUUACUGCAACUUGCCAUUGCUCGUUGCACGGUGCUGUGUAGCAUAGGUGGGAGCCGUUGAUCCCUGGGCGCUAGCCUAGGGGGAGGCAACAGUGAAAUACCACCCUGCGCCGUGCGACGUGCUCACCAGAGCGAGGCAAACCCUCCUUGGGACCGUGGCAGGCGGGCAGUUUGACUGGGGCGGUCGCCUCCGAAAGAGUAACGGAGGCGCGCGCAUGGUGCCCUCAGUGCGGUCGGUACUCGCACGCAGAGAGUGUAACAGCAGAAGGGCGCUUAACGGUGAGACCGACAGGUCGAGCCGAUACGAAAGUAGGCUGUAGUGAUCCGGUAGCCCCGCGUGGGCGGGCUAUCGCGCAACGGAUAAAAGGUACGCUGGGGAUAACAGGCUUAUCGCGCCCGAGAGUUCACAUCGACGGCGCGGUUUGGCACCUCGAUGUCGGCUUAUCACAUCCUGGGGCUGGAGCAGGUCCCAAGGGUCCGGCUGUUCGCCGGUUAAAGUGGUACAUGAGCUGGGUUCAGAACGUCGUGAGACAGUUCGGUCUGUAUCCGCUGUGGGCGUUGGAAGAUUGAGGGGCGCGGACCCUAGUACGAGAGGACCGGGUCGGAUUGCCCGCUCGUGUACCGGCUGUGGUGCCAACUGCAGCGCCGGGUAGCGAGGGCAAGCGCAGAUAACCGCUGAAUGCAUCUAAGUGGGAAGCUGCCCCCAAGAUGAAUCUUCCCUGGAGCCUCGAGCUCCCUGAAGGGCCGGGAGAGACCAUCCCGUCAAGAGGCCGCACGUGGACGCCGGGCAACCGGUUUCGAGCGAAGCGGUCCUCAUCGCCCGUGAGGCUUGAUCUC